UACGUAGGGAGCAAGCGUUGUCCGGAAUCAUUGGGCGUAAAGAGCGUGUAGGCGGACCAGUAAGUCGGUUGUGAAAGUCCAGGGCUCAACCCUGGAAAGCCGGCCGAUACUGCUGGUCUAGAAUCCGGAAGAGGCGAGUGGAAUUCCUGGUGUAGCGGUGAAAUGCGCAGAUAUCAGGAGGAACACCGGUGGCGAAGGCGGGUCUCUGGGCCGAUACUGACGCUGAGGAGCGAAAGCGUGGGGAGCGAACAGG
rnacentral:rRNA from 1 species